AUACGGAGGGUGCAAGCGUUGUUCGGAAUUACUGGGCGUAAAGCGCGUGCAGGCGGUAAGGUAAGUCAGAUGUGAAAGCCCCGGGCUCAACCCGGGAAGUGCAUUUGAUACUGCCUUUCUUGAGUAUGGGAGAGGAGAGUGGAAUUCCCAGUGUAGGGGUGAAAUUCGUAGAUAUUGGGAGGAACACCCGUGGCGAAGGCGACUCUCUGGACCAAUACUGACGCUGAGACGCGAAAGCGUGGGGAGCGAACAGGAUUAGAUACCCCAGUAGUCC
rnacentral:rRNA from 1 species